rnacentral:rRNA from 1 species
CGACGUGAGGAGCCUGCCUCAAAGAGGGGGACAACAGUUGGAAACGACUGCUAAUACCGCAUAAGCCCACAGCUCGGCAUCGAGCAGAGGGAAAAGGAGCAAUCCGCUUUGAGAUGGCCUCGCGUCCGAUUAGCUAGUUGGUGAGGUAACGGCCCACCAAGGCGACGAUCGGUAGCCGGACUGAGAGGUUGAACGGCCACAUUGGGACUGAGACACGGCCCAG